UCCGUAAGAAAAGCACCCACGAGGCCAUGACUAGGCACAGACAUCCCCUGCCCCGAACUCUCUUCCCCAAACUACCCAUCCCAUCUCUCGCGAGAAAAAUUCCCUACCGCCGUCCAGAUCGGAGAUCACCUCGGCCUCCUCCACCACGCGCCCGCUUCCUCCCAUGGUCGUGUCCUCCCGACCCACCCUCCUCUUCGCUCACCACGCCGGCACAGGCGGUCACGCGGGCGUCCAUUGAUCUGCAACUGUCACCGCCUUCAUAACGCUCAAGCGCCGCCCACGGAUAGACGAUGGCUUCAGCCGUGUCAACGAGGUCGAGGAGUCCCUUGACCUAGCCCUUGCCCUCACCUUCGUCGGAGGCCUCGCCCAUCUCGAUGGGGCCGGUUACUUAUCUCUCGGGGAUGCCCUGCCCUCCCCUGGCGUGCUGGGGACCGAUGAUGCCCUGCCUUCCCCUGGCGUGCUGGGGAUCUGGUGGCGCCCGUCGAACGUCGAGAGGUGGCACAGCCCCGCCACACACUUGUUCCUCCUCCUCAGGAUCCUCAAUUCCUCAUCUAAAAGCUGUGAUAUUUCCCUCCUUCAUGGAUGUAUGGAACUGCGUGAAUGGGACAGCGAAGCCACUGUCAUGAAACUUGCAGAAUGAUGAUAGAGAUAUCGAAAGAUUUUCUAAAAUGAGGUGUGAAAUAAAAGGCAAAUGUGAAGCUCUUGCAUCAAUCCUCAGACUGAUUCCUGCAAAUUUUCCUACAGAACUACAACAUGGUAGUCUUGAAGUAAAUACCAUUUCUUUUAUUUUCUAUGUGUUGUUAGCACAAUAGAUAGUUAAUAUUGUUUUUCCUCUCAAGUUCAAGAUGAAGACGACCAGUUGAGAAAACAGUUUGGUGAGAUAGAGUGGCAGGUUUGCUAGAAUCACUGUAGCUGCUUCUGCCGCAAACUUACGUUCAUGCAUAUGACAUCUUCUGGGAUCUUUGUUUUAGGAAACUAUUUUGUUUACACCUUCCUAUUGGCAUGUCUAUGGCAGCAGUGAAACUUAAACGAACACUUCUAGGCUAGAUAUUAUUAAUGUGUACAUAUAUUGGUCCUUUACAUGGAUCUUGCCAUCUUUAUUUGCCAGUCAUUUCAACUAUUUGACAAACUUGAAGGCAAGCUCAAGGAAAUGCAUCAUUACCUUUUAGUAUUAUUUUUGAGUUGUUGGAAUCAAUCUGGAAAACAUCUUCCUAUUGUAGAUACAAUAUUUGCUGGUUUGUAGUCUGAUACUCUGUUUGACAUUACAAAUUACGGAAAUACUUAGAUUAUGCUUAUGCCACUGUGCUGAUAGAGAUUGGCUACUUAAUAGUAUGGAGAUGACAAGAUCGAAAAGGACGGUGAUAUAAGGAAAGCGGGGAGUGGAGGAGGAAGAAAGUUGGGAUGCCAAUUAUAAAUAGGUUAAUACUUCAAAUCUUUAUGCACUGAGGUAUUCUUUGUGUUAGAAAUAAUUGUUUAAAAGGCUCAUGAUUUUGGCGAAACUGUAUGAUGUAUGUGUGUUCCUUCACAUGGACAAAUAUGAAAGGGUACCCAUUAUGAAAUCAUAGACCAGUGAUGUAUCAUUUCUUUGUCUUUCUUAUUGCAAAUAUGGCUCACAUGGCCGCGCUCUGCAGAAUAUAGAGUUUGAUGAUGAUGAUGAUUGGAACCAAGAGGAGGAAGCAAGUGAGUUUCAUUUGAUUUUCUAUUCAUGAGGUUACAGUAACAAGAUAUGUAAAGUCUGGAUUGGUUUACUUAUCACUUGUAUGUUCCAUACUUGCAGUUUUUCAGUACUUUCGUCUUGUUGCCUCUCAGUGUAUCACUAAAUAAUCAGUGUUUUUGGGUACUUGCUUGUUGUUGCCUUUCAGUGUAUCACUAAAUAAUCAGUUGACCGGUGUUGGCAAUGUUGCAUCGAUCCUAUUUAUUUCUGGUUAUGUAUGCCUCCCAAGCUACAACUUAUACCCAAAAUUAUUAGCAUACAAAUUGGUAUUAGUUGUGGGAGACUCGGCCAUGCCGACAAUGCCUCCAAUGUGGUGGCGGUCAUGGUGGACGCCACCAUGUGAGCUUCAGCUCAUCGUGGUGUAGCCGGAGCGAUUUCCUUCGCUGUUGAAGUCCGGGAAGAUUUUUAUGUGAAUGCAAUCAUGUUUUGCUAGGUCCCUAGCAUUAUUAAUUUUAUUUUUCUGCCAAUAACAACCAAGUAAUGUGUGCAUGUCCACGUCUUGGAGUAAUUCUCGGUUAGUUAGAUCUGAUCGUUGUAUGUGCUUCGUGGGAUGCCACGAAUCCAGUGCAAGCAGCGUUAUUGUCGUUGGGUUCAGGUGGACAUGGGAUGGUUCAUUUGAUAUACCUACUCACUAGCUACUUUCUCUCUUUUUCAGUAGCACUUGACCAUAUAAAUAAGAGAAAUAAACCAGAAAACGCUGCAAGAUUUUUACGCAAUGCAAAUUACUUGUCUGCGUGCUCGCGCGUGUUUAUACGUGCGCUUGUUCUUUUGUGUCCAAAUACUUGUGUAGUGUUGUGAGAGAGAUUCUGCAACUUCAGUUUUUGUCAUGCAGUUCCUUAAAACGUAUACAUCUCUUGCAUCCUUUAGAUACAUCAUGUGUACAGGUAUAUGUACAGGGAGCAAGUGCCACAUUGCUACAUUUAAUGCUUUGGUGUGCUCUCACGCUCCAUGCCAUUGUCCCACGCUCCAAACUGUAGAUAUUGACUAUGAUAUGAAAUUGUAAUUGCUCAUAAUUUAUAUUUUUGACACAAGGCAGGAGCCAAGAACAUCUGUGUGACAUGGAAGCUCUUAACAAUGGUUAGCGUAUGGUUCGCAAGUUAUUUCUCUGGUUCAUCUCAAAUUGAGCGUCUUGAUACUUCAUAUGAAUAUUUGGUUGUAACAAAUUGUUUUCCGCAAGUCACAAUUUUUUGUAUGCAAGAAAUAUGUAUAAAAUUCCUCAAAGCAUUGUAGAUAAGCAGCUUCAUAUGUCUGAGUGUCUGAUAUGCCUUUCUUUUUCAGUUUUUCCUGCCAGAAAGAAAGCAAGUGACCUAUUUAAUCUCAGAGAUAUGUCCCAUUAUCAGUUUUGAGGAGUCAUUGUUCCAGUCACACAAAAUGUUGACAGAUGUAUCAUUUACAAUGACCAUUCAAUUGUAAUUUCAGUGCCAUGUCAUAAAAUUUCAAUUCACCAGUUCAGCCCCUUCCAUAAGAUAUUGGAUCAACAGUUGGAAGUGAACCGUGCAAUACAUCACUCUAAUAUUAGUUAUAAUCGGCUGACCAUGUAGGAUGUACCGCUUGUGAUGUAUUACACUCCAUAUCUCCUUACAAUUUGUAGCGUGAAAUUUUUAUUCCUCUCAUUUGUCCAUUUUUUUGUUCUAUCUCUUAAACUGGUGAAUAGGAAGUUAUGUUGUUUCAGAUGCUUACUGUGUGAUGAAGCAGAUGGUGUUCCGAAAUCCAGCAUCUGACACCUGGUUUUGGUCUCAAGACUGCAGUAAAACAACGGAACAAACAUGGUUCGCUGCAAAAUUUACUUAGGCUCUGUUUGGUAUCUCUCCGCUCCGCGGAGCCGGGGAGCUGGGUUUUCGCUGCUCCGUUAAAAUAAGCUGUAGGAUGGUCCGCUCCGGGAGCGGAGUCAGAGGAGCGGAGAGAAACCAAGCAGGCUCUUAAUACAACUAUAGUUAGAAAUUUAGGCAAGGAGCACGCCCAUGAUCUGAGGAGGAACAUAGCUGAUCUUCAUUAGAUCUACUUCAAUUACUCAGAAAAACCGAUUUUUUUUAAAAAUAAUGUUCUUCGCAUUAGGUGCCUAGAGUUUUAAGUGCUUUGCACUAGCACCCUGUAGUCAGUCUUUCUUUAUGUGCUAUUCAGUCCAACAAGGAAAACAAAAUGGUAGAGCGAAAGUAAAUCUUCGGAACUGAAAUCACAUAUUGCCAUGCUCAACACAUAUUUCGGAAGUAGAAUAUUUCAUUGUGUCCAUAUACUUUCUAAAUCCGUGGCAACGCACGUGCAUUCAGCUAGUACAUAUAUAUAUAUACAUAUAUAUAUACAUAUAUAUAUAUACACAUAUAUAUAUAUAUAUAUAUAUACAUAUAUAUAUAUAUAGGGAAAAUAGAUACUACCACCUAGUGGUAGUUACCUAUAUCCUCAUUGCCGUCCAUCUCAUCUAGAUACGUGCACUUGUUAGCGGGUUGUAGUUUCCCAUAUAAAUUGGUUUAGUCAGCCUGAUUAAAACCCACCGGAUGUUUCCUAUUUUUUGGGGAUUUUGUGUUGUUACUAUAUAACUACCUCACCGUAUGUUUUGCCGCUCGCUGGUGGCAUCGCGUUCAUUCAGGGAUAUACUAUGGCUUCAUGUAUGAUACGGGGUCACCAAAGGGAAACAAGUUUGAACAUUAGUCGUUGAAGAUCGAACUAGUCGAGAACUACCUUGGCAUUUUGGAGUUAGUGGUCGUCGUUAAAUUUUUAAUGGGAUCACAGCGAGGCCGUGCCGGCGGCGGCAACCAUGUCCGUGUAUUGAGAACAUCGCACCAACACGCGCCGCUGCCGGCGAUGACGUCCACGCCGCUUUCACUCUGAGGCCACGCCGCCGCAUCGGCGUCCGCAUAUAUAUAAGUCGUCCUUGCAUGAGCGGCCAUGCAUUGUGAUUAGACUACACUUCUGUCUAGAUCAAUUUGGAUUUGGCCAAAAGCAAACUGAAAGGAUACUAGGCAGGGGUGUAUAUACGGUCAUUCAUUGUAGGAGUACAUGAGUCAUCAGUUAUGACCUAUUUGUAUUGUUGUACCCAUC